AUCUUACAAAAUGGCAUGUCACACCAAUCAAUCUUGUUUUUUGAGUGUUUUAUGCCUUGUUUUGAUGGUUAGUUCGGGUAAGAAUGAAAUUUUAUUUUUAUUUUUGAGUUUCAAUUUUAAAGUAGAAUUUACUAACACCAAAUGUUUUUUAUUGAAACAUAUAUUGCAUCUUUAUAUUCAAAAGAAAGUAAAAAAGACUCGUCUAAAAAAUUAUGUGAUUGUUUAACCCUUCUAAGAAGUUGAUUUCUUUUUAAACAAGAUAUGUAGAUCAAUAACAAUUCAAUUAUGGUUUAAUCAAUUCUCAAUUCGAAAGAACAUUAGAUUGAGAUUUUUAAUGUAAAAAUAAUGAAGCAAUGUCAAACACAAACUAAUUUUAAAUUUUGGUUGAUUCAGGAUUGGUUACCAGUAUUUUGGUCCCUCCCGGAGGAGUUUGUAUAGGGCCUUGUGUUGCAACGUGCGACCAGGAUUGUCGUGGCAAGGGAUUUGGAAAAGGGGGACAAUGUUAUACUCAUCUUGCGAAGACAACAUGUUGUUGUUUUCACUAAUGAAUUUUAUUGUAUGAGUUCAAUAAAAAUAAUAAAACGUGCAUUUGAGUUUAGCUCUGGAACUUACAUUUUGUAAGAAAUUUGUGUAAAUCUUUAAAAUACUAUAAACACUAUUAUGAAUAAAUGAAAUUUAAAAUGGAAUAUA
rnacentral:lncRNA from 1 species